rnacentral:rRNA from 1 species
AUUGAACGCUGGCGGCAGGCCUAACACAUGCAAGUCGAGCGAGCGGCGGACGGGUGAGUAAUGUCUGGGAAUCUGCCUGAUGGAGGGGGAUAACUACUGGAAACGGUAGCUAAUACCGCAUACCAUCAGAUGUGCCCAGAUGGGAUUAGCUAGUAGGUGGGGUAACGGCUCACCUAGGGGACGAUCCCUAUCUGGUCUGAGAGGAUGACCAGCCACACUGGAACUGAGACACGACCCCGACUCCUACGGGAGGCAGCAGUGGGGAAUAUUGCACAAUGGGCGCAAGCCUGAUGCAGCCAUGCCGCGUGUGUGAAGAAGGCCUUCGGGUUGUAAAGCACUUUGAGCGGGGAGGCGUUACCCGCAGAAGAAGCACCGGCUAACUCCGUGCCAGCAGCCGCGGUAAUUC